rnacentral:rRNA from 1 species
GGUAAGUUGGGUAUGAAAUCUCCUGGCUUAACUAGGAGAGGUUGCUCAAAACUACCAGACUAGAGGACGGUAGAGGGAGGUGGAAUUCCCGGUGUAGUAGUGAAAUGCGUAGAUAUCGGGAGGAACACCAGUGGCGAAGGCGGCCUCCUGGGCCGUUCCUGACACUAAGACGCGAAAGCAUGGGGAGCGAACGGGAUUAGAAACCCCGGUAGUCCAUGCCGUAAACGAUGUGGACUUGAUGUCGGCAGCGUAAUAGUUGUCGGUGUCGUAGUUAACGCGAUAAGUCCACCGCCUGGGGAGUACGAUCGCAAGGUUAAAACUCAAAGGAAUUGACGGGGACCCGCACAAGCAGCGGAGCGUGUGGUUUAAUUCGAUGCUACACGAAGAACCUUACCUGGGCUUGACAUAUAGGUGGUAGGGAUCCGAAAGGUGACCGACCCCUCGGGGAGCCUAUACAGGUGCUGCAUGGCUGUCGUCAGCUCGUGCCGUGAGGUGUCCGGUUAAGUCCGGUAACGAGCGCAACCCUUGCCGUAUGUUACAUGUGUCCUGCGGGACUGCCGGUAUAAAACCGGAGGAAGGUGGGGACGACGUCACAGUCAGCAUGGCCUUUAUGUCCAGGGCUACACACACGCUACAAUGGUCGGUACAAUGGGUAGCAAAGUCGCGAGGCGGAGCCAAUCCUCAAAACCGAUCUCAGUUCGGAUUGCAGUCUGCAACUCGACUG